rnacentral:rRNA from 1 species
UGAGGAAUAUUGCGCAAUGGGGGCAACCCUGACGCAGCAACGCCGCGUGAGUGAGGAAGGUUUUCGGACCAUAAAGCUCUGUCGAGCGGGAAGAAAUGCAUGGUGGCUAAUAUCCAUCAUGCUUGACGGUACCGCUAAAGGAAGCACCGGCUAACUCCGUGCCAGCAGCCGCGGUAAUACGGGGGGUGCGAGCGUUGUUCGGAAUUAUUGGGCGUAAAGAGCGUGUAGGCGGCCGAAUAAGUCAGAUGUGAAAUCCCUGGGCUUAACCCAGGACGUGCAUUUGAAACUAUUCGGCUGGAGUAGGGGAGAGGAAAGUGGAAUUCCUGGUGUAGUGGUGAAAUUCGUAGAUAUCAGGAGGAACACCGGUGGCGAAGGCGACUUUCUGGCCCUAUACUGACGCUGAGACGCGAGAGCGUGGGUAGCAAACAG